GCCGCCUUAGCUCAGUCGGCAGAGCGAGUCACUCGUAAUGACUAGGUCGUCGGUUCGAUUCCGACAGGCGGCU
rnacentral:tRNA from 1 species